UACGGAGGGUGCGAGCGUUUGUCCGGAAUCAUUGGGCGUAAAGGGCGCGUAGGUGGCGGGACAAGCGUGCGGUGAAAGCUCGGGGCUCAACCCCGCGUCGGCCGUGCGAACUGUUUUGCUUGAGCACUGUAGAGGCAGGCGGAAUUCCGGGUGUAGCGGUGGAAUGCGUAGAGAUCCGGAGGAACACCAGUGGCGAAGGCGGCUGCCUGGGCCUGGCCUGACGCUGAGGCGCGAAAGCGUGGGGAGCGAGUCCGG
rnacentral:rRNA from 1 species